rnacentral:rRNA from 1 species
GAUGAACGCUGGCGGCGUGCUUAACACAUGCAAGUCGAACGGAAAGGCCCUGCGUUUGUGGGGUUCUCGAUUGGCGAACGGGUGAGUGACACGUGUGUAACCUGCCCUUGACUUUGGGGUAACUUCAGGAAACUGGGGCUAAUAUCGGAUAGGAUCUCCUGCACCGGGGUGGGGGUUGGAAAGUUGCGGCGGUUGUGGAUGGACUCGCGGGUUAUCAGCUUGUUGGUGGGGUAGUGGCUUACCAAGGCUUUGACGGGUAGCCGGCAUGGGAGGGUGAACGGGCACCUUGGGCCUGCGAGACGGAGCAGAGGGCAACGGGAGGCAGUGGUGGGGAGUCUUGCACAGUGGGCCCGCGUGUGAUACAGAAACGCUGGGUGCGGAAAGCCGGCUUUCUGGGUGAGAACCGCUUUAGCUUGAGACGAAGCGUGAGUGACGGUAAUGGGUAAAGAAGCACCGGCUAACUACGUG